AGGACGAACGCUGGCGGCGUGGAUUAGGCAUGCAAGUCGGACGGUAGGGCUUUAUCGUAAGAUAGAGUUUGAGAGUGGCGAACGGGUGAGUAACACGUAGGAAUCUACCCUUAAGACGGGGACAACCCAGGGAAACUUGGGCUAAUACCGGAUGAGAGUGCGAGAGAUUGCAUUUAAAAGGAUGGCGAAAGUUGUCGCUUAGGGAUGAGCCUGCGGUCUAUUAGUUAGUUGGUGAGGUAAGAGCUCACCAAGGCGAUGAUAGAUAGGCGGCCUUAACGGGUGGUCGCCCACACUGGGAUUGAGAUACGGCCCAGACUCCUACGGGAGGCAGCAGUGGGGAAUAUUGGGCAAUGGGGGAAACCCUGACCCAGCAACGCCGCGUGAAGGACGAAGGCCUUCGGGUUGUAAACUUCUUUGAUCAGGGACGAAACAAAUGACGGUACCUGAAGAACAAGCCACGGCUAACUACGUG
rnacentral:rRNA from 1 species